AUUGAACGCUGGCGGCAGGCCUAACACAUGCAAGUCGAGCGGAGCGGCGGACGGGCGAGUAAUGCAUAGGAAUCUGCCUGGUAGUGGGGGAUAACGUCCGGACACGGGCGCUAAUACCGCAUACUAUCAGAUGAGCCUAGGUCGGAUUAGCUCGUUGGUGGGGUAAAGGCCUACCAAGGCGACGAUCCGUAACUGGUAUGAGAGGCUGAUCAGUCACACUGGAACUGAGACACGUUCCAGACUCCGACGGUAGGCAGCAGUGGGGAAUAUUCGACAAUGGGCGAAAGCCUGAUCCAGCCAUGCCGCGUGUGUGAAGAAGGUCUUCGGAUUGUAAAGCCCUUUAAGUUGGGAGGCGUUACCAACAGAAUAAGCACCGGCUAACUUCGUGCCAGCAGCCGCGGUAAUUC
rnacentral:rRNA from 1 species